rnacentral:rRNA from 1 species
UACGUAGGGUGCAAGCGUUGUCCGGAAUUUAUUGGGCGUAAAGAGCUCGUAGGCGGUUUGUCGCGUCUGCUGUGAAAACCCGAGGCUCAACCUCGGGCCUGCAGUGGGUACGGGCAGACUAGAGUGCGGUAGGGGAGAUUGGAAUUCCUGGUGUAGCGGUGGAAUGCGCAGAUAUCGGGAGGAACGCCAAUGGCGAAGGCAGCUCGCUGGGACGGUACUGACGCUGAGACGCGGAAAGCGUGGGGAGCGAACAGG